rnacentral:misc_RNA from 1 species
GUGAAUCAUCGAAUUUUUGAACGCAAAUUGCACUCUCUUCGGAGAGUAUGCCUGUUUGAGGGUCAGUAUUAAUAAAAAUCGGUGUGUUGCUUCUUUGUGACGUUCCGGAGUUUGGGUCAUCUUAAUAUCCUUUAGGUCUUUUGAGGCUAAAAAUCGACUUUUUUUGCGACUUUUAGUUGUAUAUAAAUUUUUUUUUUUACUCGUCUGCCUUAUUGCCUAAAAUCAUAUAAGAUGCGACCAUAUCG